CAUCCCUCCGUUGAUCGUGAGCUUAAUAAAGAAGCGGUGCCAACUGCCAACGGUCGAACGCUGUGACGCAGGUGGCAGUACCUGCAGCCCAGCAAUUCUCAAAGAAGCCAAAAUUACACAUCCACGGCUUAUCAUUAACCCCACCAUCUACGGAAUGUCCGAAUGCGGGUUUGUCAUAACCGCUGUAACGGGAACCGAACAAGCUAGCGACAAAAGAGGAUGUCUUAUAGGAAAACCUAUCGCUAAUUCACAAGCCAAGGUAGUGGACUCAAUCACUAAGAGGCUGCUG